CACGUAGGGUACGAGCGUUGUCCGGAAUUAUUGGGCGUAAAGAGCUCGUAGGCGGUGUGUCGCGUCGGCCGUGAAAACCUGCAGCUUAACUGUGGGCUUGCGGUCGAUACGGGCAUCACUGGAGUUCGGCAGGGGAGACUGGAAUUCCUGGUGUAGCGGUGAAAUGCGCAGAUAUCAGGAGGAACACCGGUGGCGAAGGCGGGUCUCUGGGCCGAUACUGACGCUGAGGAGCGAAAGCGUGGGGAGCGAACAGG
rnacentral:rRNA from 1 species